UAAGCUAUGGUAGAGACGCGGCAUACGGCUCAGUAACACGUGGCUAACCUACUCUUAGGACGGAGACAACCCCGGGAAUCUGGGGCUAAUACCUGAUAGGUGAGGACUCCUGGAAUGGAUCCUCGCUGAAAGGACGCCUAGACCAUGCUUCUAGGUGUUGCCCAAGGAUGGAGCCGCGGCCGAUCAGGUUGUUGGUGAGGUAACGGCUCACCAAGCCUUUAACCGGUACGGGCCGUGAGAGCGGGAGCCCGGAGAUGGGUACUGAGACAAGGACCCAGGCCCUACGGGGCGCAGCAGUCGCGAAAACUCCGCAAUACGCGAAAGCGUGACGGGGCUAUCCCGAGUGCCGUCCGCUGAGGAUGGCUUUUCCCUAGUGUAUAAAGCUGGGGGAAUAAGGAGAGGGCAAGCCUGGUGUCAGCCGCCGCGGUAAUACCAGCUCUCCGAGUGGUGGGGAUGCUUAUUGGGCCUAAAGCAUUCGUAGCCGGUUGGGCAAGUCCUCUGUUAAAUCCAGCGAUUCAAUCGUUGGACUGCAGGGGAUACUGUCCGGCUAGGGGGCGGAAGAGGUCGACGGUAUUCUCGGGGUAGGGGUGAAAUCCUAUAAUCCCGGGAGGACCACCAGUGGCGAAGGCUGUCGGCUAGAACGCGCCCGACGGUGAGGGAUGAAAGCUGGGGGAGCGAACCGGAUUAGAUACCCGGGUAGUCCCAGCUGUAAACGAUGCAGGCUAGGUGUUGGCGCGGCUACGUGCCGCUCCAGUGCCGCAAGGAAGCCGUUAAGCCUGCCGCCUGGGAAGUACGGCCGCAAGGCUGAAACUUAAAGGAAUUGGCGGGGGAGCACCACAAGGGGUGAAGCUUGCGGUUUAAUUGGA
rnacentral:rRNA from 1 species